GUCAAAUCACCCUGAAGGAUGUUUAGGUGAAUGUGGGAAGAAGUUAUGCUUAGAGAUCACUGUGAUGAUUCCCUACACUAUCCUUUCGGAGAAAACAAGUUAAAGGAGCUGGUAUUAUGAUUGAUUCUGAAGACUCUUGAGAACAUCAUUACUACAUGGCAGCACAUCUGGCAAAUGAGUGGCAAGAUCAAGUUGAAGUCAUGGAACAUUCCAGAGAGGCCAACAUUCUAAAUAAAAGCAGCUUAACUCAGAAUGCUGUGCAGUAAAGGGUGAUUGCUUUGGCUUCUGCAGUAGCCUCAUUGAUGAUCUGGCAUUAAGAAGCUUUCAACAAGUAAAAUUUAAAAGAUGUGCCCAUUGGAAAGAAGGUGAAAAAUUAUAUCAAUGGAUUUGAAAGAACUCAACUGGAAUUCCAUUACCUCCACUAACUUUGUUCAC